rnacentral:lncRNA from 1 species
GAGAACAAGAAUCUGGCUACCUCACUCACUCUAGGUCUGAGCAAGAACAAAAGGAGCUGGUGGCAGGGCUGAGGAAGGAGAGGAAGCUUUGGGACAUGCCCCUUUGUGAGGCUGUGGGUGCUACCUCUAGACAAUUACCUGUCUAGUGAUCUUAUUCUCCCUCAUGCACCUGUAUGGAGUUGCUCUAAAGAUCAGAUGAAAUGGAUGACCAUAUAUUUUGAACAUUGUGAAACUUUUUUUUAUUACUGCUCGGUUCUCAAGGAACCAGGAUGUCUUC